rnacentral:lncRNA from 1 species
AAUAAAGUUAGUUUCUUUUGACAAGUGGCUCCUGAUUGUGCCCAGCCAGACUGCGGCAGAAAGGUCCUGACCCAGUGAUUGUCUGCAGUCGGGGGUCUGUUUGUGUGUUUCCACAGGGAGAACAACAGCUGAUUUGGAUUCCAGAGAGACUAACCAAAGUGAUUUCUACAGACCAAAAAGAAGAUGAUUUGACUCAAAUCCAUAACAGCUGAUAUCCAGAGCUCCAGCUUGGCUAUUCUUACAUCUGUGACAGUGAUUAACCAGGAUGCUUUUUUCAAUAUCUAUUUUAUUAUUGCCUUUUCCUACAUCAUAAAGUUCUAUUUUAUUUUUUGAGCUCAUACAGACCGAGGUUAAUGUUUUUCUGAUCAGUUUUAUUUUUUGACAAUGGAGAUUUCACCUGUGUAAAGCUACAAGGCCUUUACUAUUGUCUUAUAUGUUGUAUGUUAUGUGUGCACACUUGUGUUUUGUGUUGUAUGUCUGUAUGUGCGUAUGUCCAUAUAUCAUAUAUGAGGAGCGCUCAUGAAAAAAUGGAUCCAAAUUUUUUUUAUUCACGUGAUUUUAAUGGUUUAAUUUAAAUUGGGUAAACAGCUGUUGAGGAUUGUUUUGAUAUGUGAACAAAUAAGGAGGUUAACAGAUCUGUUUGUUUACUUUCACCUUUCCUUUUCAUUAUAUUUAAUAAUUCUGUUCAGGAUAAUGUAAAUUGUUCAGAAAAUUGUUUUCUUAGUACCUAUUGUAAUGUUACAUAAUUUUUUUUUUUUAGCCAUCAUUGCCAGAAUUCCUAUCUUCAUCCCAGUGCCGGUGAAGACAAAGAUAAAACCAAACUACGGCUUCUUCAAUAGUUAUCGCAACAAACUGCAUAAACUGAUGCCCACGUGACCCAGCCAAUCGGCCUCAAGAGCAGGAGGAUUGUGGGAGGUGGAGAGAAGCUUGUGGGGGAGAGAGAGGCUUGUGGAAAGCCGGUGGUGGCAGUUGAGGCUCUGAGGGUUUUUCCUGAGAGGCUGUUUUGUUUGGCGUGUGUGGUUCUAAAAAUAAAGUUAGUUUCUUUUGACAAGUGGCUCCUGAUUGUGCCCAGCCAGACUGCGGCAGGGAUGAGGCAUGGCAUUUUUGCCAGAAGUAGUGGUUGAGAGGUAACGCCAGCGAGUUCUCGCUGAGUUCCCACUGAGUUCCGGUUGAGCUCUCGCGGGGAUUCCCGGAGAGUUCCCAUUGGUUGGGGAAGUGCCGGAGGAGGGAUAUUUUCCGGCUGCGGGUUGCUGGACGAGCCGCGUGGCGUUCGGCAGAUUUCCCAGGAGCAUGUGUGGAGUGUGCUGGUGGAGUUCAGAAAUAAAGUUUGUUCCUGCUUCACUGGCUUGUGAUUUGUGCGGCAGGUUAGAUUGGAUUCUGUAAUCAGGCUCCAUAGAAUGAAGACAGCUGUUCUAGCCAACAUCCAUG